rnacentral:lncRNA from 1 species
CACUCUCUGCUGAUAUGACUGACCAUGACACAUGGCAGUUGAUCUCUUCCUUUCGAUCGAAUUCAGCAUCAGCCAACUUGGGACUUUGAGGGUGCUAUUUCUCUUUUGUUUUUUUUUCUUUCUUUUUCUUUUGCUUUUGAUUUUGCUUUUGAUUUUGCUUUUGAUUUUGCACCCUCCUCUUUUCUCUUUUUUUUUACUUGAUUGAUUUUUUCCUUCUUUUUUU